rnacentral:rRNA from 1 species
UGCAAGUCGAACGGGUCCUUCGGGACUAGUGGCGGACGGGUGAGUAACGCGUGGGAACAUACCCAAAGGUACGGAAUAGCCUCGGGAAACUGAGAGUAAUACCGUAUGUGCCCUUCGGGGGAAAGAUUUAUCGCCUUUGGAUUGGCCCGCGUUGGAUUAGGUAGUUGGUGGGGUAAUGGCCUACCAAGCCGACGAUCCAUAGCUGGUUUGAGAGGAUGAUCAGCCACACUGGGACUGAGACACGGCCCAGACUCCUACGGGAGGCAGCAGUGGGGAAUCUUAGACAAUGGGGGAAACCCUGAUCUAGCCAUGCCGCGUGAUCGAUGAAGGCCUUAGGGUUGUAAAGAUCUUUCAGUUGGGAAGAUAAUGACGGUACCAACAGAAGAAGCCCCGGCUAACUCCGUGCCAGCAGCCGCGGUAAUACGGAGGGGGCUAGCGUUAUUCGGAAUUACUGGGCGUAAAGCGCACGUAGGCGGAUUAGAAAGUCAGAGGUGAAAUCCCAGGGCUCAACCUUGGAACUGCCUUUGAAACUCCUAGUCUUGAGGUCGAGAGAGGUGAGUGGAAUUCCGAGUGUAGAGGUGAAAUUCGUAGAUAUUCGGAGGAACACCA